rnacentral:tRNA from 2 species
GGGCGGAUAGCUCAGUGGGAGAGCAUCGGCCUUACAAGCCGGGGGUCGCAGGUUCAAAUCCUGUUCCGCCUACCA